rnacentral:misc_RNA from 1 species
CGGCAGCGGCAGCAGCGGUUAGAAAGAAGGGAGAAGAGAGAAGAGACUCAUCCUUUCGCGUGCGUUGCGCGCAUGUGUGCAUGUGUGUCCACGAGUCCGUCUGUCUUUGCCUUCUCUUUCAGUAGCGUACUAUUCUCUCUCUCUCGAUUUCGUGUGAUAGCCCUCUUCAGCGCCUAACGCCCGCACGCACAGAGGCACGCCGGGUGUCGUGCAGCUGCACCGAAGCUCACCUCGUUGCGCUGCGGCGUACACCUCACUCUUCCCCCUCCCUCCUGUGCCUCCUCUGACCCGCUGCUUCUUGCCAAACGCCUCGUUGCCGUCCACUGCUGCCUGCCGCUGCUCGUAGAGACGCGCUCCAGUCCGGCAAAAGCAGCAGAGGGGAGCUGUGCGGUGACGGGAGCGGUGAGUGGACACACACACACACACAGACGAAGGCAUCGCCAGGCGUGCUAUGUGCAUUAUGCGGUCUCGUCGACAGACCGUCUCGGACACGGUCGGCACGCUCAGCAUGGAUCCAUGGAAUGAUGACCGAGUGCGUGACUUUGUUGCCAUCAACACGAUUCAGCGGCUGCGCGCGUACCACUUGCCGACCAGCGCGCCGAUGCCCGUGAUCGAUGAGGUGAACACGGCGCGUGCGCUGAACCUCAUACUGCUGCCGAGGGCCGAUCCCGACUACCGACCCUGCCUCGGCGAGCAGCCUCCGUCGCGCACACAGCUGCGUGCACGGCGGCGCGCGACGGCGAGACAGGAGAGGCCAGAGGGUCGCCAAAGGCAUCAGGAGGGUUCAGGUCGAGGUGAGCAAGGCGGCUGCUCGCCAGAGUCCCCUUCGACCACUGUGUCGACCUCCUCCAGCUCCGACGAUGGCAGCAACGUCGACGACGAUACAGCCACAGAGCACGGCGCCACCGUAUCAAUGCCGAACUCCUCAUUUUCUACGGACAUCGCAACUCCCACUAAGCAAGCAAAGCCGCGCUCCCCGGUUGCUUCCGGUGCCGCCGCCGCUGCAGCCCUGUCCAGGCAGUGCGCCAUCGACCGCGCGCGCUUCCUUUUCUUUGGCGCGUUGUCGUUCACCUCCUCGACCUCGCCGCGACGGCUGGUGAACUCGCCCCACGUUCCGCUGACGCCGUCGAUAGCGUCCACGACGACUAUUGCAGGUCGGCCAUCUAUGCAUGUUCUCCGCUCUCCCAAAGAAGCGUCUCUCAGCACGACAGCCAGUCCUCUUUCGUCAGACGCGAGGGCGGCCCAGCGCCGAGCUGGAAGGGAAGUAGCUGCGGCGGCGACGGAAGAGGGCUCGGUGACGGCUAUGCCGCCUGCCCCUCUUGCACUGUCGGCCACCAGGUCACUUGGCAUGGAGCUGGACGCGCAUAUCGAGGCAAACAGCACUCCACUGCGCCCGCCGCCGCCAAUGCAGUAUGUCGGUGUUUCUGCUGAAGCGCAGACACCCGCCUCUGCGGAGGCGAAUGCAAGCGAAUCGGACGUGUCGCCGAGCAGCUCCGCCGUGGUUGCGUCCCAUGAGGCAUCUAAGUCGGAAGUCGAUGCGCUGUGCGAGAGCACUUCUACCAAGACGACUGCGAUGACUACUCCUUCGGCCACAGAGCAGCCGCGAGCUCCUCUGGGAGCGGCACCGGAUGCUGUUCGACCACCUUCUCCAAGACUGGUGGGAGCCGAAGGGGGCAGGACCACAACUCCGCCCACUAGUCAUGGUGAUCCCCGCAGCAGCAGCAGCUCCACGGAUAUUAUGCAUACAUGCGACGUCUGCGACGCCAUCAUCCAGUACUAUCAAUCAAUGUUGACGAGAGGUGUCGUGCUCGACCGCUACAACCACAAGGAUCUCGCCUUUGUGUGGUGGGUUCUAGGACGAAACAUGGACGUCGCCGCCCUCGAAAAUCGCGGCCCGAUGCGGCGCGAGGCACUCAUGAUCACCCUGCGAAACUUCUACUACACGCUGCUGACGGCAGAGGAGGCGAGAGCGAAGGAAGCGGCGGGUGAGGCGGAAAAGAGCCACGCCGAGAAAACGGAGCUAGCGGGAACCGGUGUCCCCGCUGCAUCAGCAGCUCCCGGCGGCCAAACGACUUUGUCACGGUCGGCUGACGCAACGGCUACUGGAGACCAGCAAGAUGAGGCCGAGGACACGGAGGAGCACUCGAGGCGUACGAGCGGCAAGGCCGCCGAAAGCAGUGACAUCACCGCAGAUGUACUUGCUGAUGCAUCUGUGCUUAGGCGACCCCCUCGUGCACGCUCUCGCGUCUCCCACACGUCCAGCGCGAGUGCCGCUUCUGCAGCUUUAUGUCGACAGAGGGACUCCCUAAGAGCAGCACGGACAACGAGCGGCUCCGCGGCGUUGAAGCGGAGUCGGCUUGAUAAGCCCCUCGUAUCCUCCGGCAGUGAUGACAAGGAGUGCGACGACGAGCAUCUUGUCGAAGAGGGCGUCGGCGCCGGCGCUGAUGAGCAGGAACGGCUGCCGGUGACGCCGUCGCGAGGGAGGACCAGCGUCCCACCGCUGCAGAAGAAGUCGCCCCACAAAGAGGGCACCACACUGACGGCAAGGCGUCGCGCAGUGGCUGGCUGUGCUCUUGGCAGCAGUAGCAGCGCAACAGGAAAAGGUCUCGCUGCCGCUCUGCUCGGGGAGGAUGAGGAGGAGACGGCGACGGAUGUCGUAGCUGAAGGUGUUGACGAUGCACUUGAGAAGGAGGCUGAUACACUUCACUCGCAGACAGAGAGCAGCGUCGUGUCACGUGCUGGUAGCGUGGCGCAGAGCAGCACUGGCGAGAUCCGCCGUCAUCACCGCCGCGCUGCCGAGCGCAACAAGGCUGUCGAGGAGACGUGGGUCUCUACACGAACCGGAAGGCGUGCUGCGGCCAUCAAGGCAGCCGCGCAGUUGGUGCUCCAAGGCACCGCCGAUGCCAUGGCGCACCGAAAGUCGAUUAAAGCGGUGCCCUUCACCAACGCAUCUGGAGCGUCGAGGACGGCAGCGGCCAAGACGUUGAAGCAAGAGGCUUCCAGCACCGCCGCGGUGAUACCGUCGGCGCCCGCCGGCGGCAGUUCCACAUCCAAGCUGCAGCAAAAGAAGCGCACCGGCUCGAAACGGGCACGUAGCCCCAGCCGCGAAACCUCCCCAGGCGAAGGUCAUCGAAGCCGCAGCAGUGACAGCGGCGGUGACAGCGACAUGGAGCUCACAAAGGCGGAAGCGAAAGGGAGUAACACCGAAGCGCCACGCAUGGUGUCACGCGUGAGCGCGAGCAAGAACAAGAGCCGAGCGGCGGUUUUCGCGGAGGCUCCCGCGGUGAAGGCAGAGAGGGUGACGCCGACUGUCCAUCCUCCUUCUGGAAAGGCUACCGCCCCUCUCUUCGGCGCCCCCACCACAACUACUCCUGGCAGUGCUGCGGCGGCAGCCACUACCUCGAAGAAAGGCAGGCGCGGUGAGGAGCACCGGGGACGUCCUCGUGGCAGCUUCAAGAUACCGCGCGUCGACUCCUCGGCGACGGAGGACCAGGGCAACGGCUUACUCGCGAGUGUCACGCUAAGCAGCCAGAGCCGGCGUGAUGGCGGGGGGUGUUCCACCGCCGUCCUAACAGGGACUUCUUCGGAGACAGCUGCUCCUCACCAGCGCUCCGCUGCGGUGAGCGUGACUGUGGCCCCUCCAUCCUUUUCUGCGCCGUCGAAGACUAGCGAGGAUGCGGCCCCGCUCGAGCUCCCUGUGUACGAGAUGCCGCUGCGCCUGACAGCGCACCAGCGCGCCGUGCGCUCGCGUAUUCAGCAACGCAUGGGUGUACCUCUGCCGGCACCGCCACCACGUAGUUCCGCUGGCUCAAUCUCCCAGGACUCCGGCAUCGACGCACAGUGGGCCACGGUGUACUCAUCCUACACCUUCCUCCUCUCCUCCUUUAGAACGGCAGCAUGGACGCGAAUCAGUCAGGACGGCGGCGGCCAUGAGCGGCGGGCGAUCACCGCCCCCGUGCUCUGGUACGGCCAGGCCAUAUCACCUGUCGUGGGAGGUGAGUCGACAUCCACCAGCAGUAGUGGUGCCGACCACAGCAGACAAGCAAGAGAAAAGGCAUUGGCGGCGGCGCUUAGCGAGGACGCUCUGGUGAACAGCGGCGCACCCUCCGGUGCCGCUGCCAUCGCCACAGCGGCUGGCGCCCUUACGCGACAGCGUGGUCGAAAACGCAGGAUCGAGGGCGGCGUUGAUCCGAGCUUGCGUGGUAACGUUCUCAGGCAUGACCAGGUCGCCCUGGAGCGACUGGUGAAAGAGCGAUUAGCGCAGGUCGCAGAGCGGAGGCAGGCUGCCGUGUCGCAUAUCGUUGGAAGCGAUCAAGGAAAGUGUCGCGCUUCAGGCUCAGGCACUGCUCAGGUGAAACAGGAACCGCGCAGCGGCAGCGAGGAAGCAGAAAAGCAGGACGACGAGGUGCAUGUGUUGAGGGCGAAGCCUGCUGUCGGCUUACCAGUGUCGCCCACUUGCGCUUCUCCCGUUGUAGCAGCUACGACACCAUUGGACCCGGCGAGGAGGGCAGGAGAAGGCGCAGAUGCCACGGCAGAGGAGGCGAUUGCGCCUGAGCAGCGCCGGGACAACUCAGCGCAGCGCGCGCUGUUGCCACAGGCGUCCGCCUUUGGUGACCUGCCGUAUGCUCAGCAGUGUCUUCUAGUGUGGUCCGCCGCAGGGUUGCUGGAGCGGCACAUACAUCGGCGCCAGAUGGAAGAUGCUCGACGCGAGCGCCUCCUGGCGCGGUGCGGCCGCAUGGCUACUCGACGGAUGGCUGCCCGUGUCGCUGCCGUCAUCCAGGGUGGAAUUGCAGACGGUAAUGCAUGCGACAAUGCCGAGGAUGCCGCCGCGCAACUGGCCGGCGAGCUCCGAGGAGGUGACGAGGACCGCGAUAGCGGUGCGAGCGGAGAGGACAGCGAUGCGCCCGAGGAGAGGACACGCAGCGGCACUCUUGGGCGGACGAGCGGGACGUCACGCAAGGCCGAUGUCGAGGAGCACAUCGACCGCCUUGAGCACUUGAGCGAUCAAUCUGCAUCUUCGCGUUCCCCCUCUGCCGUCUCGUCGUCCGCGUCCUCGGAGGAGCGCUUCCACAAGGUCAUGCGCCCGCUACCGCGCCGCGCUUAUGACUACUGGGCCGCCUAUCGUCGCGCCGGUGACAGUGGGUGACAGACACACACGCCGGCACGGCGCGCGUGCAUGUGUGGGCAUCGGUGUUCCUCCUCUCUGCGUCGAUAUCAGCAGCGGAAGACAACGGCGAUGACAGGAAAACGUUUGCCACAGGGAUGGGGCGAAAAGACGGGAAGCGGAGGAGAGAGUUCACCAGGUACGACCCAAGAUGGUGUACUGUGGGGCUGUCAGAGUUGUAGCUUGAGGACUGUGUAUGUGUGUGUGUGUGUCUGCGCGCCGCAGCAUACAGACCCCUUCAUUAUC